rnacentral:rRNA from 1 species
UGCAAGUCGAGCGAGAAGCCGCCUUCGGGUGGUGAGUACAGCGGCGGACGGGUGAGUAACGCGUGGGUAAUCUACCAUCGGGUUCGGGACAACUCCGGGAAACUGGAGCUAAUACCGGAUGAGACUACGACGUCCUCGGACGAUGUGGAAAAAGGUGGCCUCUUCUUGAAAGCCAUCGCCUGGUGAUGAGCCCGCGUCGCAUUAGCUAGUUGGCGAGGUAACGGCUCACCAAGGCUAUGAUGCGUAGCUGGUCUGAGAGGAUGAUCAGCCACACUGGAACUGAGACACGGUCCAGACUCCUACGGGAGGCAGCAGUCGGGAAUCUUGGGCAAUGGGCGAAAGCCUGACCCAGCAACUCCGCGUGAGGGAUGAAGGCCUUCGGGUCGUAAACCUCUGUCGGGAGGGAAGAAAUGGUCUUUGGUUAAUAGCCACUGGCCUUGACGGUACCUCCAAAGGAAGUGCCGGCUAACUCCGUGCCAGCAGCCGCGGUAAUACGGAGGGCACAAGCGUUGUUCGGAAUUAUUGGGCGUAAAGCGGGUGUAGGCGGCUAGGUAAGUCGGGUGUGAAAUCCCUGGGCCCAACCCAGGAACUGCACUCGAAACUGCUUAGCUAGAGUCUCGGAGGGGGUGGCGGAAUUCCGGGUGUAGAGGUGAAAUUCGUAGAUAUCCGGAGGAACACCAGUGGCGAAGG